rnacentral:pre_miRNA from 2 species
UCUUAUGGACGAACAAAGAAAGUGGUUUCUUGAGGUGGAAUCUACUCCUGGUGAACAUGCUGUGAA